rnacentral:tRNA from 1 species
GCCGAAAUGGCGGAAUUGGCAGACGCACAGGACUUAAAAUCCUGCGGAGGUUAAACUCCGUGUGGGUUCGAUUCCCACUUUCGGCACCA